UCAUGCUCUGCCUCUCUCAAAAAUAAACAUUAAAAACAAUUCAGAAAACGUGACUAGUGCCAGUGCCUUCAUCAGAGGCGUGUGAAAGUAUGGUUGGGCAUUCACACCAAAUGCGUGCACAGUAGUGGGCACACAAUAUACUCUCACAUACGACCACUGUGGCCCUGACACCUGACAAUGGGAGGUGUGGCCAGAAAGCAGCAGGGCAGUGCCAGAGGGGAUGAGACAUAGGGCUGGCUCUAGCUUGUUCCUGGAUGUGGCCUCCAGUUAAUGGCCGUGAGCCAAAGAGGAGGCACCUUAGGUCUCUCCUUUGGAAGAAGAGCCCACAGAAAGGCCUCGGUGUGCCCUGGGAUGGCUUGGAAGUGAGGGAGGGGUGAUGUGGGGGGAAGUCUGGGGCCUCUUUGAUGAUGUACUUAGGUCCACAGGCACACAGAGGAUUGGGAGCACCAGGGAGUGAUAGAAGAGACUGGACUCUGGUCAGAGGACAAUGUGAUGGGAUGGUGCUGGUCAAGAGGGAAGGAGAGAUAAGAGGCAGCAGCCAUGUUUUCUGCGUGAACCCUGCCAAAGUCUUUACGACAUGCGGAGCCUUCUGGAAGAAGACUGUAGGAGGAUUCCUCUCUGGCCUCAGCCUCAGGAAUCAUCACACUUAACUCUGAGGGAUUAGUUCGUGUCCUGUCCAGUGAAUGCAGAACGGUGUCGUGGACCAGCCUGCUUUUUCAAGAUUGCUGUUAUGGCGACAAGUAUAGAGCCAAAUCUGUGCUCGUGCAUUAACAGGAGAGUCCAGUUCAAGCC